UGUUGCCUGCAAGGGCGUAUGGUGGAUGCCUUGGCAGACAGGACCGAUGAAGGACGUUUGAGGCUGCGAUAUGCCUCGGGGAGCCGCCAACAGGGCUUUGAUCCGAGGAUUUCCGAAUGGGGGAACCCACCGGCCGUCAUGGGCCGGUACCGCCGUGUGCGGGGGGUACGCAGGGAAGUGAAACAUCUCAGUACCUGCAGGAAAGGAUAUUCCGUGAGUAGUGGCGAGCGAAAGCGGAUCAGGCCAAACCUUGCGCGUGUGAUACCCGUCGGGGGUUGCGCGCGGGGUGUAGAGGGAUCGCGUUUGCCGGCUCCGACGGGCCGGCCGUCAGUUGCAUAAAACCAUGUGCCAGGGGAACCGGGUUGAAUACCGGGCCGCAGAGGGUGAGGGCCCCGUACCCGAACGCGCAUGGUCUGGCGAUCGCGUCUCCCAAGUAGCACGGGCCCCGUGGAAUCCCGUGCGAAUCUGUCCCGACCGUGGGAUAAGCCUAAAUAUUCCUGUCUGACCGAUAGCGAACGAGUACCGUGAGGGAAAGGUGAAAAGUACCCCGGGAGGGGAGUGAAACAGUCUCUGAAACCAUGCGCCUACGAACCGUCGGGGCCCCCUUGUGGGGUGACGGCGUGCCUAUCGAAAAAUGAGUCUGCGAGUCAGUGGCAUGUGGCGAGCAUAACCCGUGUGGGGUAUGCGUAGCGAAGGCGAGUCUUAAAAGGCGUUUAAAGUCGCGUGUCCUGGACCCGAAGCGGGAUGAUCUAGCCCUGAGCAGGUUGAAGCGCGGGUAAGACCGUGUGGAGGACCGAACCCACCUGGGUUGAAAACCGGGGGGAUGACUUGGGGCUAGGGGUGAAAGGCCAAUCAAAUUCCGUGAUAGCUGGUUCUCUCCGAAAUGCAUUUAGGUGCAGCGUCGGAUCGAUUACAUCCGGGGGGUAGAGCGACUGGAUGCUUGCGGGCCCAUAUCGGGUACCAACAGCAACCAAACUCCGAAUACCCGUGAUGCGUAUCCCGGCAGUGAGUCGGCGGGGGAUAAGCUCCGUCGUCGAAAGGGAAACAGCCCAGAUCGUCGUCUAAGGUCCCCAAGCGUGUGCUAAGUGGGAAAGGAUGUGGAGUCGCAUAGACAGCCAGGAGGUUGGCUCAGAAGCAGCCACCCUUGAAAGAGUGCGUAACAGCUCACUGGUCUAGUGGUUCCGCGCCGACAAUGUAGCGGGGCUCAAGCACACCACCGAAGACGCGGCAGUAGCUUUGCUACUGGGUAGGAGAGCGUCCCGUGCGGGGCGAAGCGGCGGCGCAAGCCGGCCGUGGACCGCAUGGGAGUGAGAAUGCAGACAUGAGUAGCGAAAGACGGGUGAAGAUCCCGUCCGCUGGACGACCAAGGGUUCCAGGGCCACGUUCAUCGUCCCUGGGUGAGUCGGGUCCUAAGGCGAGGCCGACAGGCGUAGUCGAAUGGACGAACGGGUCGAUAUUCCCGUACCGGCAUGCAACCGGCAAAACCGAAUCCGCGAGUACUAACCUCCGGGUCCGGGCUCACGUCUCCUUCGGGAGCCGGAUGCCCUGGCCUGUUGGGACCGUAACGGUAGUAGGUCAGCGCGGGAGUGACGCAGAAGGGUAGCCGGCCGCGGAGGUGGUCUUCCGUGGUCAAGCACGCAGCCCGUCCCACAGGCAAAUCCGUGGGGCGCGUGGGCGAGGUGCGAUGAUGGGCGCCGCAGGGCGCGAUAUCCGGUGAUCCCGGCUGCCGAGAAAAGCUUCGGCGUGAGGCGGCAUGCCGCCCGUACCCCAAACCGACACUGGUGGUCAGGUAGAGAAUACCAAAGCGAUCGAGCGAAUCCUGGUCAAGGAACUCGGCAAAUCACUCCCGUUCCUUCGGUUUAAGGGAGACCCCCGAUGGUGAAGCGGCUUGCCCGCGGAGCUUUUGGGGGUGGCACAGACCAGGGGGUAGCGACUGUUUACCAAAAACACAGGAGCGUGCGAAGGCGCAAGCCGCUGUAUACGCUCUGACGCCUGCCCGGUGCCGGAAGGUUAAGAGGAUCCGUCAGGCCUCGGCCGAAGCGGUGAAUUCAAGCCCCGGUAAACGGCGGUGGUAACUAUAACCAUCCUAAGGUAGCGAAAUUCCUUGUCGGGUAAGUUCCGACCUGCACGAAUGGCGUAACGACUUCCCCACUGUCUCGACCAGGAGCUCGGCGAAAUUGCAGUACGAGUAAAGAUGCUCGUUAAGCGCAGAAG
rnacentral:rRNA from 1 species